rnacentral:rRNA from 1 species
UGGGGAAUUUUGGACAAUGGGCGAAAGCCUGAUCCAGCAAUGCCGCGUGUGUGAAGAAGGCCUUCGGGUUGUAAAGCACUUCUGUCCGGAAAGAAAUCCUUGGCUCUAAUACAGUCGGGGGAUGACGGUACCGGAAGAAUAAGCACCGGCUAACUACGUGCCAGCAGCCGCGGUAAUACGUAGGGUGCGAGCGUUAAUCGGAAUUACUGGGCGUAAAGCGUGCGCAGGCGGUUUGCUAAGACCGAUGUGAAAUCCCCGGGCUCAACCUGGGAACUGCAUGGGUGACUGGCAGGCUAGAGUAUUGCAGAGGGGGGUAGAAGUCCACGUGUAGCAGUGAAAUGCGUAGAGAUGUGGAGGAAUACCGAUGGCGAAGGCAGCCCCCUGGGCCAAUACUGACGCUCAUGCACGAAAGCGUGGGGAGCAAA